rnacentral:rRNA from 1 species
GUAGGUGGCAAGCGUUGUCCGGAAUUAUUGGGCGUAAAGCGCGCGCAGGCGGUUCUUUAAGUCUGAUGUGAACGCCCACGGCUCAACCGUGGAGGGUCAUUGGAAACUGGAGAACUUGAGUACAGAAGAGGAAAGCGGAAUUCCACGUGUAGCGGUGAAAUGCGUAGAGAUGUGGAGGAACACCAGUGGCGAAGGCGGCUUUCUGGUCUGUAACUGACGCUGAGGCGCGAAAGCGUGGGGGAGCAAACAGGAUUAGAUACCCUGGUAGUCCACGCCGUAAACGAUGAGUGCUAAGUGUUAGGGGGUUUCCGCCCCUUAGUGCUGCAGCUAACGCAUUAAGCACUCCGCCUGGGAGUACGGCCGCAAGGCUG